rnacentral:rRNA from 1 species
CGUAGGGGGCAAGCGUUGUCCGGAUUUACUGGGCGUAAAGCGCGUGUAGGCGGCCACGCAGGUCCGCUGUGAAAACUGGAGGCUCAACCUCCAGACGUCGACGGAAACCGUGUGGCUAGAGUCCGGAAGAGGAGAGUGGAAUUCCUGGUGUAGCGGUGAAAUGCGCAGAUAUCAGGAAGAACACCAAUGGCGAAGGCAGCUCUCUGGGACGGUACUGACGCUGAGACGCGAAAGCGUGGGGAGCGAACAGGAUUAGAUACCCUGGUAGUCCACGCCGUAAACGAUGGGUGCUAGGUGUGGGAGGUGUCGACUCCUUCCGUGCCGUAGCUAACGCAUUAAGCACCCCGCCUGGGGAGUACGGCCGCAAGGCUA